rnacentral:rRNA from 1 species
GAUGAACGCUAGCGACAGGCUUAACACAUGCAAGUCGAGGGGCAGCAUAAAAGUAGCAAUACUUUGGUGGCGACCGGCGCACGGGUGAGUAACGCGUAUGCAACCUACCUAUCAGAGGGGAAUAACCCGGCGAAAGUCGGACUAAUACCGCAUAAAACAGGGACACCGCAUGGUGAUAUUUGUUAAAGAAAUUCGCUGAUAGAUGGGCAUGCGUUCCAUUAGGUAGUUGGUGAGGUAACGGCUCACCAAGCCGACGAUGGAUAGGGGAACUGAGAGGUUGGUCCCCCACACUGGUACUGAGACACGGACCAGACUCCUACGGGAGGCAGCAGUGAGGAAUAUUGGUCAAUGGGCGAGAGCCUGAACCAGCCAAGUCGCGUGAAGGAAGAAGGAUCUAUGGUUCGUAAACUUCUUUUGCAGGGGAAUAAAGUGCAGGACGUGUCCUGUUUUGUAUGUACCCUGAGAAUAAGGAUCGGCUAACUCCGUGCCAGCAGCCGAC